rnacentral:rRNA from 1 species
UCCGUAGGUGGAUAAUUAAGUCAGAGGUGAAAUCCUGCAGCUCAACUGUAGAAUUGCCUUUGAUACUGGUUAUCUUGAGUCAUUAUGAAGUGGUUAGAAUGUGUAGUGUAGCGGUGAAACGCAUAGAUAUUACACAGAAUACCGAUUGCGAAGGCAGAUCACUAAUAAUGUACUGACACUGAGGGACGAAAGCGUGGGGAGCGAACAGGAUUAGAUACCCUGGUAGUCC